GACGAACGCUGGCGGCGUGCUUAACACAUACAAGUCGAACGGAAAGGCCCUGCUUUUGUGGGGUGCUCGAGUGGCGAACGGGUGAGUAACACGUGAGUAACCUGCCCUUGACUUUGGGAUAACUUCAGGAAACUGGGGCUAAUACCGGAUAGGAGCUCCUGCUGCAUGGUGGGGGUUGGAAAGUUUCGGCGGUUGGGGAUGGACUCGCGGCUUAUCAGCUUGUUGGUGGGGUAGUGGCUUACCAAGGCUUUGACGGGUAGCCGGCCUGAGAGGGUGACCGGCCACAUUGGGGCUGAGAUACGGCCCAGACUCCUACGGGAGGCAGCAGUGGGGAAUAUUGCACAAUGGGCGGAAGCCUGAUGCAGCAACGCCGCGUGCGGGAUGACGGCCUUCGGGUUGUAAACCGCUUUCGCCUGUGACGAAGCGUGAGUGACGGUAAUGGGUAAAGAAGCACCGGCUAACUACGUG
rnacentral:rRNA from 1 species